GACGAACGCUGGCGGCGUGCUUAACACAUGCAAGUCGAACGGAAAGGCCCCUUUGGGGGUACUCGAGUGGCGCACGGGUGAGUAACACGUGAGUAACCUGCCCUUGACUUCGGGAUAACUUCAGGAAACUGGGGCUAAUACCGGAUAGGAAUCCUUGCUGCAUGGUGGGGGUUGGAAAGCUUCGGCGGUUUUGGAUGGACUCGCGGCUUAUCAGCUUGUUGGUGGGGUAGUGGCUUACCAAGGCUUUGACGGGUAGCCGGCCUGAGAGGGCGACCGGCCACAUUGGGACUGAGAUACGGCCCAGACUCCUACGUGAGGCAGCAGUGGGGAAUAUUGCACAAUGGGCGGAAGCCUGAUGCAGCAACGCCGCGGGCGGGAGGACGGCCUUCGGGUUGGAAACCGCUUUCAGCAGGGGCGAAGCUUGUGGUGACGGUACCUGCAGAAGAAGCACCGGCUAACUACGUG
rnacentral:rRNA from 1 species